AGAGUUUGAUCCUGGCUCAGAUUGAACGCUGGCGGAACGCUUUACACAUGCAAGUCGAACGGUAACGCGGAGAGAAGCUUGCUUCUCUCCGGCGACGAGUGGCGAACGGGUGAGUAAUACAUCGGAACGUGUCCGCUCGUGGGGGACAACCAGCCGAAAGGUUGGCUAAUACCGCAUGAGUUCUACGGAAGAAAGAGGGGGACCCGCAAGGGCCUCUCGCGAGCGGAGCGGCCGAUGACUGAUUAGCCGGUUGGUGAGGUAACGGCUCACCAAAGCAACGAUCAGUAGCUGGUCUGAGAGGACGACCAGCCACACUGGGACUGAGACACGGCCCAGACUCCUACGGGAGGCAGCAGUGGGGAAUUUUGGACAAUGGGCGCAAGCCUGAUCCAGCUAUUCCGCGUGUGGGAUGAAGGCCCUCGGGUUGUAAACCACUUUUGUAGAGAACGAAAAGACACCUUUUAAUAAAGGGUGUUGCUGACGGUACUCUAAGAAUAAGCACCGGCUAACUACGUGCCAGCAGCCGCGGUAAUACGUAGGGUGCGAGCGUUAAUCGGAAUUACUGGGCGUAAAGGGUGCGCAGGCGGUUGAGUAAGACAGAUGUGAAAUCCCCGAGCUUAACUCGGGAAUGGCAUAUGUGACUGCUCGACUAGAGUGUGUCAGAGGGAGGUGGAAUUCCACGUGUAGCAGUGAAAUGCGUAGAUAUGUGGAAGAACACCGAUGGCGAAGGCAGCCUCCUGGGACAUAACUGACGCUCAGGCACGAAAGCGUGGGGAGCAAACAGGAUUAGAUACCCUGGUAGUCCACGCCCUAAACGAUGUUAACUAGUUGUUGGGAAGUAAAAUUCUCAGUAACGCAGCCAACGCGAGAAGUUAACCGCCUGGGAAGUACGGUCGCAAGACUAAAACUCAAAGGAAUUGACGGGGACCCGCACAAGCGGUGGAGCAUGUGGUUUAA
rnacentral:rRNA from 1 species